UACGUAGGGGGCAAGCGUUGUCCGGAUUUACUGGGCGUAAAGAGCGUGUAGGCGGCCAGGCAGGUCUGUUGUGAAAACUGGAGGCUCAACUUCCAGACGUCGACAGAAACCGCUUGGCUAGAGUCCGGAAGAGGAGAGUGGAAUUCCUGGUGUAGCGGUGAAAUGCGCAGAUAUCAGGAAGAACACCGAUGGCGAAGGCAGCUCGCUGGGACGGUACUGACGCUGAGACGCGAAAGCGUGGGGAGCGAACAGG
rnacentral:rRNA from 1 species